ACGAACGCUGGCGGCGUGCCUAAUUCAUGCCAGUAGAACGCACAGUUUAUACCGUAGCUUGCUACACCAUAGCCUGUGAGUUGCGAACGGGUGAGUAACGCGUAGGUAACCUGCCUGGUAGCGGGGGAUAACUAUUGGAAACGAUAGCUAAUACCGCAUAAUAUUACUUAUUGCAUGAUAAUUAAUUGAAAGUUGCAAUUGCACCACUACCAGAUGGACCUGCGUUGUAUUAGCUAGUAGGUGAGGUAACGGCUCACCUAGGCGACGAUACAUAGCCGACCUGAGAGGGGGAUCGGCCAAACUGGGCUGGGGACACGGCCCAGACCCCUACGGGAGGCAGCAGUAGGGAAUCUUCGGCAAUGGACGAAAGUCUGACCGAGCAACGCCGCGUGAGUGAAGAAGGGUUUCGGAUCGUAAAGCUCGGUUGUAAGAGAAGAACGGGUGUGAGAGUGGAAAGUUCACACUGUGACGGUAUCUGAACAGAAAGGGACGGCUAACUACGUG
rnacentral:rRNA from 1 species